rnacentral:rRNA from 1 species
GGGAAACUGAGUAUAAUGCCCGAUAGAACACUAUACCUGGAAUGGUUUGUGUUCCAAAUGAAUGUCGCCGUAGGAUGGGACUGCGGCCUAUCGGUUUGUUGGUGAGGUAAUGGCCCACCAAGACUAUUACAGGUACGGGCUCUGAGAGGAGUAGCCCGGAGAUGGGUACUGAGACACGGACCCAGGCCCUAUGGGGCGCAGCAGGCGAGAAAACUUUGCAAUGUGCGAAAGCACGACAAGGUUAAUCCGAGUGGUUUGUGCUAAACGAACCUUUUGACAGUCCUAGAAACACUGUUGAAUAAGGGGUGGGCAAGUUCUGGUGUCAGCCGCCGCGGUAAAACCAGCACCUCAAGUGGUCAGGAUGAUUAUUGGGCCUAAAGCAUCCGUAGCCGGCUCUGUAAGUUUUCGGUUAAAUCUGUACGCUCAACGUACAGGCUGCCGGGAAUACUGCAGAGCUAGGGAGUGGGAGAGGUAGACGGUACUCGGUAGGAAGGGGUAAAAUCCUUUGAUCUAUUGAUGACCACCUGUGGCGAAGGCGGUCUACCAGAACACGUCCGACGGUGAGGGAUGAAAGCUGGGGGAGCAAACCGGAUUAGAUACCCGGGUAGUCCCAGCUGUAAACUAUGCAAACUCAGUGAUGCAUUGGCUUGUGGCCAAUGCAGUGCUGCAGGGAAGCCGUUAAGUUUGCCGCCUGGGAAGUACGUACGCAAGUAUGAAACUUAAAGGAAUUGGCGGGGGAGCACCACAAGGGGUGAAGCCUGCGGUUC